rnacentral:rRNA from 1 species
GAUGAACGCUAGCUACAGGCUUAACACAUGCAAGUCGAGGGACCGGCGCACGGGUGAGUAACACGUAUCCAACCUGCCCUUUACUCGGGGAUAGCCUGUCGAAAGAAAGAUUAAUACCCGAUGUAAAGUAUGGGUAUGCGUGCCAUUAGGUUGUUGGGGAGGUACUGGCUCACCAAGCCUUCGAUGGAUAGGGGUUCUGAGAGGAAGGCCCCCCUCAUUGGAACUGCUACACGGUCCAAACUCGUACGUGAGGUAGAAGUGAGGGAUAUUGGUCAAUGGGCGUUAGACUGAACCAGCCAAGUAGCGUGAAGGAUGACGGCUUAUGGGUCGUAAACUUCUUUUAUAUAAGAAUAGGUAUUAUAUGAAUAAGGAUCGGCGAACCCCGUGCCAGCAGCCGCGGUAAUUC